rnacentral:rRNA from 1 species
UACGGGGGGGGCAAGCGUUGUUCGGAAUUACUGGGCGUAAAGGGCUGGUAGGCGGCCAGCUAAGUCGGAUGUGAAAUCCCCAGGCUUAACCUGGGAACUGCAUCCGAUACUGGUCGGCUUGAAUCCGGGAGAGGGAUGCAGAAUUCCAGGUGUAGCGGUGAAAUGCGUAGAUAUCUGGAGGAAUACCGGUGGCGAAGGCGGCAUCCUGGACCGGCAUUGACGCUGAACAGCGAAAGCUAGGGGAGCAAACGGG